rnacentral:rRNA from 1 species
GCUAGGGGGCAUACCCGCCUACCAACCCCUAUCAAACUCCGAAUACCGUCCGGUGGAGCGUGGCAGUGAGACAGUGGGGGAUAAGCUUCAUUGUCGAAAGGGAAACAGCCCAGAUCAGCAGCUAAGGUGCCUAAAGUACGCUAAGUGGAAAGGAGGUGGAGUCUCAUAGACAGUGAGGAUGUUGGCUUAGAAGCAGCCACCAUUUAAAAAAAGCGUAACAGCUUACUCAUCGAGAGACUCUGCGCCGAAAAUAAUUGGCGAUAAGCGUGCUACCGAAGCUCUGGAUGUCAUCCUUAUGGAUGGCGUGGUAGGAGAGCGUUCCCAGUGCGGCGAAGGGUGAUGGUGACUGACCCUGGAGCGCUGGGAAGUGAGUAUGCAGACAUGAGUAACGAUAAGACCGGUGAAAUCCCGGUCCGCCGUAAACCCAAGGUUUCCCGGGCAACGUUUUUCGUCCCGGGGUUAGUCGGGACCUAAGCCGAGGCCGAUAGGCGUAGGCGAUGGUAAGCAGGUCAAUAUUCCUGCACCUCCGACCCUUAAACUGGGGGGACGCGGUUUGAAAAGUGGCUAGGUUAUUGAAUUCCGAGAUGAUCCUACGGGUGAUUCGUACCACCAGACAAACCGCCAAGAAAAGCCCCAGCAUAUGCUAAGGAGCCCGUACCGUAAACCGACACAGGUGGGUGGGUAGAGUAUACCAAGGCGCAAGAGUGAAACCUGGUUAAGGAACUCGGCAAAAUGGCUCCGUAACUUCGGGAUAAGGAGUGCCCCUUUUGGGGGCCGCAGUGAAUUGGCCCAUCCGACUGUUUAGCAAAAACACAGCAUUGUGCUAAGGCGUAAGCCGACGUAUACGAUGUGACACGUGACCAAUGCCAAAAGAUUACGGUAAGGUGUUAGCCCUCGUGGCGAAGCUCCGAGCCCAAGUCCUGGUGAAUGUCGGCCGUAACUAUAACGGUCCUAAGGUAGCGAAAUUCCUUGUCGGGUAAGUUCCGACCUGCACGAAUCGUGCAACGAGAUGGGCGCUGUCUCAACCAGGAGCUCAGUGAAAUUGUAACACCGGUGAAGAUGCCGGUUACCUGCAGAAGGACGGAAAGACCCUAUAGACCUUAACUGUAAGCUGUUACUGUUUAUUUGAUUUCAAUGCUCAGCAUAAGUGGGAGGCUUUGAAACGGCGUUUUAGGGCGUCGUGGAGCCGCCAGUGAGAUACCACCCUUUGGUAUUGGAUGAUCUAACCCCGAGCCGUUAUCCGGCCGGGGGACCCUGGCAGCCGGUCAGUUUUACUGGGGCGG